GUACUGUGUGUGAUGUUGCUCCAUCGCUGUGAGUGUAGCUUUAUACAGCAUUUGGCAUAGAGGGUCUGUGUUGAUUUGGACUAUGGAGAUGGAGCAGCGGUGUUUUAAUAUAUAUGAUGAUAGCCAUGGCGAUAGAAGAGAAAGCCAAACAGACAGAACUGAGAACAUCUAUCAGUGUCUGCAGUAUCCUCCAACUGCACCACGUACCCAACCUAAUGAAACUGAGCCAUCUACUUCAGAUAAAUGUGGAGGGAAGAAGAUGAUACUCCCACUUCUCAUUAUCAUCAUUUUCUUACUAACCGCCAUCCUUUUCAUUGCUACGAUGCAUUACUACCACUUUAUACAAACCAGAUUGGGAAACAGCCAGAACACAAACAAAGAACUGUGGAUUCUUCAUGCCAACAUGUUCUACUUGUUUUGGAGCAACCAUGGUGACUGUGACACUGCUGAGAGAUUCUGCGCCAAGAGAAACGCCAGCCUUGCAGCUGCAGCUGAAUAUAACCUGGCCUGGCUGCAGUCACAGGCCAAAGGAAAGCGCCUCCUAGUGAGGACAGAAACCUCCAACGGCUCUGGAGACUCUGCAUUUGUCCACACACAUACGGAUGAAGAUGAUUUUGAUUGCGACUUCCUCGAUGGGACAUCUGAUAAGAACCAGGUGGAGGGAUGGGUGUGUGAGAAAGAAGCAACAUGAAGCAAAAGGGAAACCAUUCCAAACAGCUUUGUGUUGCACAGUGCUCUUUGAAAAUUCUGAGUUAUUCUUCCGGCGUGUUUUCUUGUUUGCUUGCUUAUUUGUUUUUGUACUUGCUGCUCAGGGUCACCUCCUUGCCCCCAUCUCAGUUGGGUUUAAAAACAUCUCAUAAUGUUACUUUCUAUUUAAACAAUUGGGAAAUGAGAAACUACAGCAGGGGUGCCCAAAUCUGCUUGUGGAGGGCCAGUGUCCAGCACAGUCUGGUUUGUUAGGUGUGAGAGGAAAAACGACCAAACUGUGGCCCACUAGAACCAGAGCUGUGCACCCCUGAACUACAGGAUGCGUUUACCAUAAAUUGGCAACCAUUCGUGCUAAUUUUCUUGAGGUCAAUAAGGCCAGGUGAUUAUUUAUUUUUGCCCUUAUAUAAUAAGAAUCUGUGCAUUUGCCCUUUAAUUAGUUUUACCUGUCUUGUACCUGUAUACCAUUUACAACAUAGGUAUACUUUGUAGGUUUACAGUUACUGAUUGUAGUCACUGAGUGGGUAUACCAGUUUCAGCACAUAGUAGCACAUGGUAGUGUCUGACGGUGGUUCGAGCUAUGGGGUACAGUGGUGGGGCUCUGUAUACCCAAGGCACCUCGUGUAGAUACAGUUUAAUCAUUUUGGUUAACACACUGCCAGUUUUAAGACCCUCAAAUAUGCCAAUGUGCCAUGGAUCCUUUCCAACGAUGUGUGGCAUUUUAUUCGCAGAAACAGAUCAGUAAUUACUACAAAGCACACGACUGUGGCAGAACAGAAGUGGUGUACAAAAUAAACUAGAAAAUCAGUGAACAUUGUCAUGUUGUGCUUUGAAAAGUAUGGUUAAGUAUAAAAUAUAAAAACAUAGAUUUGGAUAUUUUUGAUAAAAUUGUAUUUGAAAAACUUUUUACAUUUUUGACAAAAAUGUAUUUGAUAAAUUUUGGAAUCUUUGUCCAAAAUUUGAAUUUGGUUGCAUCCUACAUGUUCACAGAGAGAAUAAACAGUCCAUCUUUAAGCAUGGUUCCUUUGGGGUCCUUUAGAGCCUAUCCCUUACUAGCUCUACUAUCAAAAACAUGACUGCCAAAUGCGAAAAGGCUUCUGCAAAACCCAAACGGUUUCAAUUAAUGGAGUAAACAGCUAAAAAUGAAAAAAACUUGUUUCUAACCAUUUGUACAAGACAUUCCUUAAAAUCUGGAAAGUAAAUGGAUGGAUUCUAAUCUAAGUAAUCUUAGCAGUCAUGUUUCUGUUUUUCUACUGAAAAGAAGAUUUGGGAUGAUGGGAGUAGCAUUACUGCUACUGAGUGCUCAUUGGUUGGUGAGCUGAUCAGGUCACUGGCUUAGUAAAGCAGUUUGCAUUCACUGAUGUCAUGAAUGUCUGUAUUACCUUUAGUUUAAAAGCAUUCAAGAAUAUAACACAUAUAUAUUUAUGUGUUCAGAAAUGUUGUGCUUUUUUUUCUAUAUAAAAAAAUAUAGUUUACAAACUACGAUUUUGCACAAAAGUUCCAUCGGAAACCGUUCAUUUUGGACUUGCUUGGGAGUUUACGAUCCUGGAAGACCUUAUUGAGUGGUAAUUCUCCUCACAUUCUUUGGUUCCAUCACAAAAAAAAAAAAUCAUAUUAAUAAUUCAAGGUCCAUAAACCUGUAUGGAUGCUGUUAUAAUACAAAAUAAAAUUGUGCUAUUAUUCCAACUGCACCAGAUGGUUAACCUGCUACAGCCAGGGCAACAGACAAUACAUCACAUUUUUUACAGCCCUGUCACUCUCACGUUCCCUUUUGGACUGGUUGUCAAAUAGCCUUUUACACGGUCAUUGUGUUAAUAUGAUGGAGUUGUUCAAGUAUUUUGCAGGAUUUGCAGAGAUCACAUGAUGCCAGCCUCACUCUCGUGCUCCAAUCAGUGCUCCAGUUCCCCAGAGUACCGAUUGGUUUCACCUGUCCUUCUCUGAUUAGUUUAGCUUAAAGCCGGGCCUGUAGCUAAAUUCAUUGCGAGGUAUUGCUUCUUUCCACAGAGCUACUGAGCAUUAUUUCUAACUGUUAAUUCCUGAUCUGAUCUGUUUUGCCUUUUUUUUGUAAUCUUUGUUUUUGUGUUUAUUGUCUUUUCUGGAUUUGACCAUUGCCUGUGACCUGACCACGAUUGUGGCUUCUGUUUGCACCACUAAAGCCUCUCAUUCACCUUUUAUCUGUGAGCGUCUGCGUCAUUCUGUCUCCUUACAAUGAACUUCAUUCUUUUCCUAUUUUUUCCCCACAAAAGUGUGUUAAAAAUGAUAGUAAACAGAGACAGAGAUGAUAUAUAAAUAAAAUAAAAC
ensembl:lncRNA